rnacentral:sRNA from 2 species
CACGUGCUCUCGCGUACCUACGAAACGCCCCUCUCCUCGCGAUCCCGCUCCGCGCUCGCGUAGUCUCUAACGAUUCCUCCGCGUAACCCCUAACAUUCUUCCGCUCCGCGCUCCACUGCAGCGCGACCCCCGAUAUUCUUCCGUCCCGAUCCUCCUUCUAUAAGAACCCCCUCGUACGACCCCUUCUUCUGAUCUUCUUUCUCUUUCUUUCCUUAAUCGAUUCGUAAACUGUUACCAGGAUAGUGUCAAGUCCGUUGAUAUUGCCGUUGGAACGGAUCGUACGAACUGCGCAGGCGGUACGAACGGUUUAAUCUGCAACAUCGGUAACAUCUGCUUAAUCGGUGGCACGCCCGUCACAUCAACUGUAUAUCUUUCAUUUCUCUGUCAUCUUUUUCAGUACUGAUAUAUAAAGUUUACUAUAUUCAACUCAGUAUAGCUGUUCAUCAGAGUGUCUACAUCUCUGUUUACAAACUCUGUAUAUCUCUAUAUAUACUUUAUAGAUCUGUGAAUCUUUAAUAUAUUAUUCAAAAUCUGAUCAACUGAAUGAGAAUGAGAGUUCUUCUAUCUGCUUUACUAUGUAUAAUACAGAUUAAUAAAAGCUGUUUGAUACUGUUUGAUCAGAUUCUCUUCUAUUAUCUGUACAAUCUCUUCUUUCUCAGUAUUUGUAUACUUUUUUUUGAGAUGAUCUUCUCUAAGUGAAUGAUUGAGAACUUUCUUACUAAAGAAUCAGAUUGUCUUCUGCUCAGAGAUAAUCUGAUUAUCUAAAAACUUUUUUUCAUUAUACUAUUUCUAUUGUAUGAAUAGUGAAGAUUGAGCAGCAGUG